AAAACUUUUACAGUUCCCUUCUGCAUUUAUGUCAUAUAGUCUAGUGAAGCCAAAGAACUAACAUGAUUAUACUAAUAAUCAUCAAACUGAUAAUUCUGCAGCAUUUUUCAGAAUCCAGUGAUGUUACACAGACACCAGUAUUAUGGGUUUCACAGGGUGAAUCUGCACAAAUGAACUGCAGUCAUACUAUGGGUGCAGGCUAUAGCUACAUGUACUGGUUUCAACAACGAAAGGGAGAAACAAUGAGACUCAUUGCUUUCACAAUGCUAGGCGGCAAGCCAGACUUUGGUGAAUUUUCUGUUGAUAAAUACUCAGCUGAAAAGACUGUAGUUGAUAAAGGGUCUUUCACAGUUCAAAAGCUGCAGCCCGAUGACAGUGGUGUGUAUUUCUGUGCAGUGAGUAAACACAGUGACACAGACCUACUGUGCUGCUGUACAAAAACCUAAAAUGUUCAUGCUCCCUAAACACAGAACAGGUGCUAUCACAGGUGUUAAUAAUGACAAUGAAAUUUUGCCGUUUGUUUGCAAUGCCACAAUAUAAUGAUUUUGACCACCAGCUUCCAAAUUAUAUAAUAAAUAAAUAAAUAAAUGAAUGAAUAAAUAAAUACCCAAAUUAAAUAAAUAAAUAAAUAAUAUCAGUUCAUUAAUAUUAUGACAAAAUGGCCUUGUUGUUACUCCUUCUGCAAGAUUCGAUGGAGGUAGCAUGAUGGCAUGAAGUGUUUAAUAAUCAGAAUUAAUAUGUAGUCACUUACAUUUAAGACACAAUAUUAUCAGUAUUGUUUUCUGUUUUUUGCUCCAUCAAUGAAAACAGUUUUAAACAAAGCCAAAGCAAAAGCUGUUGCAACACUGAACAACACAAUGGUUGAGCCACAAUAGAACAGGAAUCCAGCAGAUGGUGCUAAAGGCUAACAUUUACAGUAUAUUACAGGAGAAGUAGCUCACAUUCCUCAGGUUUUGGUGCCUCAAGUCAAUCUUCAAGUACAAACAUUUUCUUUAUUCUUUUUAUUUAUUUUUAUUUACUGUUCUUUAACUGGUGACAUAUCAUCAGUUAGAUCAUUCGUAGAUGACAGUUUGCAACUAGAUGGAUGUACUGUUACUUCCUCUACAGUCAAAAAUCUGGGUGUUAUAUUAGACAGCAACUUGUCUUUUGAAAAUCAUAUUUCCCAUGUUACAAAAACAGCAUUCUUCCAUCUUAGAAACACUGCCAAGCUGCGAAACAUGUUACCUGUUUCUGAUGCAGAAAAGCUAGUUCAUGCAUUCAUGACCUCUAGACUGGACUAUUGUAAUGCACUGCUAGGUGGUUGUCCUGCAUCUUCAAUAAACAAGCUACAGGUAGUCCAAAAUGCAGCGGCUAAAGUCCUUACCAGGUCAAGAAAAUAUGAUCAUAUUACCCCAAUACUACAGUCUUUGCACUGGCUACCUAUUAAGUUCCAUAUCAGUUACAAAAUAUUAUUACUAACUUAUAAGGCCCUUAAUGGUUUAGCUCCUGCAUACCUAACUAGUCUUCUACCACGCUACAAUCCAUCACGCUCCCUAAGGUCACAAAACUUUUGGUAGUACCUAGGAUAGCAAAGUCCACUUAAGGAGGUAGAGCUUUUUCGCAUUUGGCUCCCAAACUCUGGAAUAGCAUUCCUGAUAAUGUUCGGGUUCAGACACACUCUCUCUGUUUAAAUCUAGAUUAAAACACAUCUCUUUGGCCAAGCAUUCAAAUACUGCAUUUCAUAAUCUUUUACUGCAGUUAUAUCUGAUCAAAUAAGCAUUAUUAUUCUUUAGCUUGGGUUAAACUAAUUAAUUUUACAUGGCUGGAACAGCAGCUACGCUAAUUACAGUAUGUCUCUAUUUGUUUCUCUGUUUUGCCACGGGACAAGGAUUUACACAAGGCCACGGGACAAGGAUUUACACAAGCUCCAGUCUGGAUCCAGAACACCUGAGAAGAGAUGAUGCCAACCCCUCAGAGGACCUCAGAUGAUGCUAACCCUGAAACAACAUACAGAACUACCACAUUUUGCUAUAAGUUUGAUUGCCCAAUUGCUGUUGAUAGUGUUAA
rnacentral:lncRNA from 1 species